rnacentral:antisense_RNA from 1 species
AAUCGACAUUAAAGACUCGUUUUGUGAGCCUUGUCCAACGGCAAGAUAGGCAUUCAUGCCCAGCUCUUUCAUUUGUUGUUCGCCAAUAACACGCGUGACAAGCUUGCUAUCAGAAAUAUCAGCGAGUUGACGAGCUUGUGAAGCCAAAUAAGCUGCAUUGCAGAUAUUUGGAGGCAUAUUACUGAGGUCUUUCGC